AUUGAACGCUGGCGGCAGGCCUAACACAUGCAAGUCGAGCGAGCGGCGGACGGGUGAGUAAUGUCUGGGAAACUGCCUGAUGGAGGGGGAUAACUACUGGAAACGGUAGCUAAUACCGCAUACCAUCAGAUGUGCCCAGAUGGGCUUAGUUAGUAGUUGGGGUAACGGCUCACCUAGGCGACGAUCCCUAGCUGGUCUGAGAGGAUGACCAGCCAAACUGGAACUGAGACACGUUCGAGACUCCGACGGGAGGCAUCAUUGGGGCACAUUGCACAAUGGGCGCAAGCCUUAUGAAGCCAUGCCUGGUGUGUGAAGAAGACGUUCGGGUUGGAAAGCACUUUCAGCGGGGAGGCGUUACCUGCAGAAGAAGCACCGGCUAACUCCGUGCCAGUAGCCGCGGUAAUAC
rnacentral:rRNA from 1 species